rnacentral:rRNA from 1 species
UGAGGAAUAUUGGUCAAUGGACGAAAGUCUGAACCAGCCAUGCCGCGUGAAGGAAUAAGGCCCUAUGGGUCGUAAACUUCUUUUGUAUGUGAGCAAUAAGGUCCACGUGUGGACCGAUGAGAGUAGCAUACGAAUAAGCAUCGGCUAACUCCGUGCCAGCAGCCGCGGUAAUACGGAGGAUGCAAGCGUUAUCCGGAUUCAUUGGGUUAAAGGUGCGUAGGCGGCUUGGUAAGUCAGCGGUGAAAUUCCAGUGCUCAACAUUGGCCGUGCCGUUGAUACUGCUGGGCUUGAAUGCGGAUGCCUGGGAGAA